rnacentral:lncRNA from 1 species
CCGUGCUGAAGACGAAGAGCAUUCCAGUGACUUUGAGCCAGAAGAAAAUGGUGAUGGUGCUGAGGACGAGGAGAUUGAGGAUGAUGAUGCUGAGGAUGGUGAGGAUUCUGUCAAGGCGCAAUCCUCUUCGAAGAGGAAGAGGUCUGGCGCGGAGGAUGAAGAUGAUGAUGACGGUGAUGAUGAUGGUGAUGAUGAUGAGAAGCCUCCAUCAAAGCGAUAGUCAAUUUGUUCUUGCUGAUCUGGUAUCUUUUCUGCUUGGGCCAAGAAGGAAAAUAAUCCUCACGGAGAGGGUUGUUGGUAAAUGCUGUAGCUUUAGGACAUCUGUGGUAGGUGUAGCAGCUCGAACUUGAGUCUACCCAUGUUAGUUGUUAGUGCAUACUGCUGAUGUUGAUUAACAGCCUCGGGGAACUUCUGUAUGAGCAUUAGAUAUGGGGCUUGUUAUAUGCUUGUGUAGCUUCUGAUUAAAACCUGUGGAAUGUGGAUGCUCUGUUCUGAAUCUUGUUUUCAUGAUAUUUCU